CACACACACACACAACAAAUAUUAAAGAAUCCUAGGAAACUCACCGACAUAGUCACCCAUGAAGAGGUAAUUGGUGUCAGGAGCGUUGCCGCCUAUCCGAAAAAGCUCGAUUAGAUCGUAGAACUGGCCAUGAAUAUCGCCGCACACAGUAACCGGACAUUUCACCGGCUGAACAUUCCAUUCCUCCACCAGAAUCGCCCUCGCUUGAUCGCACAGAGUCUUCACCUCUGCUUCUGACAGCGGCUUGCACUCCAUCAAUUGCUCUAUCUGCCUGUCCAAAUCCCCUUGUCCCGGCAUUUCGCAAUUAUUUUCAAUAAUAUUUGAAAAAAAAAUAAAAAAAAAUCCCCUCCUUAUUGGCUUUCAGAUCUAUGAAUUAGUUAACGAUUUGAAUUUUAAAAAAUACAAAAAUAAUAGAUUAAUCAGACGAAUCAGACAGAUCUCGACUUGAGAGAUUUAUGAAGAAAAAUGAUUUCAUAAAUUUUUUUCAUCAUUUUCUAUUGCUUCACGAGACUCGUUAACAUUUCACGUCUCUCUCCCUCUAGAAAUGAUAAGAAUUAUGUAUAUUUAUCAGUAUAUAUAUUCAAAUUAUAUAUGUACGCAAUAUAU
rnacentral:lncRNA from 1 species